GACCAUGGGGCCAGACAGGGCUGUGGGUACCACAGAGCCAUCAGGGCUCAGAGAGGAGCUCAGGGCAAUGGCCACAGGCACCUGGGGGGGAUUCCCUGCAUAGCAGAGGGGUGUGGGAUGUCAUUUGUGAGGAAGAGGUAGACUGGGAGGGGCCCUUUGGGUGCAUGGAUACACCAGCUCCCUGCACUGUCUGUCCAGGGAGAGCCUGUGUCUACCUGCUAACAGCUCUGCUCUUCUUCCUACGCAUGCCAGGACCACACCAUCCAGUUUGCCCUCCUGGUCCUCCAGGACACCAUGGUCACGGCACAGGUCCCAACCAUGGUGGCCCUGCUGUCUGCCCCCCACGCCCUCCUUCUCCUGGCCAUGGGCAUCCUCCCCAUGGGCAUCCCCCAUCUGGACAUCACCCUCAUGAGCACCCUCAUGGGCACCCUCAUGGGCACCCCCAUCCAGGGCCACCUCACGGCCAUUAGAAGUAACAUAAGAAGCACCAUAAGGACAAGCACUCCAAGCACCAUGGAGACAAGCACUCCAGUGGCUCAAGCAGCAGCUCUGACUCUGACUGAAGAUCUGGCAUGUCCCACCUUCAGCCAAACACGAAGCCAAACACCUUGUGGGAACUCCCUGCAUGUAGCUCUACUCCCUUCCCCUUUCCCUUACAGCAGUGUUUUGCCUGCUGAGUGAUUUUCUUGUGUUCUCAUUGUAAAUGAUUUGUCCUGGAAUCUCUUAAGUCAUUGGACAGCAUCUCCAUUGCCUGUCUUUUGGGAGAGCCUGCUGAAAGUCAUCAUGUGCUUGUCUGCAA